rnacentral:rRNA from 1 species
UACGUAGAAGACUAGUGUUAUUCAUCUUUAAUAGGUUUAAAGGGUACCUAGACGGUAUAAUUAGUCUUAAACAGGAUACGAUUAUACUAGAGUUAUAUAUGAGGAGGUGAGUAUUUAUGCAGUAGAGUUGAAAUUCGUUGAUAGCAUAACGACUGGUAACGGCGAAAAGCAACCUUUUAUCUAAUAACUGACGUUGAGGGACGAAAGGCU